UUCAAUGAUGUGGACAAAUGAGUUAAGGAGGAAUGAGUGGGCGAAGGAAAGAGAUGGAAGAAAGGACUUGAGAGAAAUCAGAGGGAGAAGGAAAGAGAAAUUGAUUUAGUCAACUUAGGAUUGAUUGAAGAGUGUGAAAAUGUACAUGUGGCAUGUUGUAAUAGGUGAUGAAGAUGACUAAAUGAUAACAUUAGUUGAUUACCAAAGUGUCAUUUUAGUAGUGUAAAUUUU
rnacentral:lncRNA from 1 species